CUGGUGUCUAGAGGGACGGAAGGACAAGACUGCAGGGACCGGCGGUACUCAAGGUUGACGUUGUUUCCGGAAUCCAGACUGGGGAGCUGCAUCUAAGGUCUUGCUACUGGAAUAUGGAAGGAGUGAUGGCUGACCUUUCUCCCACAACACAAGGCAACCCAGAGAAAACUUUGAUAUCAAAAUACGGAGGCCUGCCAGUGCCGGUGCCAGUGCCAGAGCUAGAGCCAGAGCUGAGAAGCAGAGCCCUGUCCAGACCACGGGCCUGGGAGAUGGAUGUGGCAUCAUCUUCCACUAGAGGGCCUGCCCCAGCCCCUAAGGCUGCUUCUUGUGCUAAGCCUCUAAAUUCUGCAGGGAUUUGUUUCUUGGCCUCCUAUGAGGCUGCUGGUUUUGUUUGCUUGCUCUGUUUUGUUUGUUUUGCCAAUGUGAGUGAAAAAUUUUAAACUGACUACAAAGCAGAAAUAAUACCAUAUAAUGAGCCUCAGAUGAAAGAAUUAUCAACAUUUUGACAAAUUUACAA
rnacentral:sRNA from 1 species